rnacentral:rRNA from 1 species
UGGGGAAUAUUGGACAAUGGGCGAAAGCCUGAUCCAGCUAUGCCGCGUGAGUGACCAGAAGGCCUUAGGGUUGUAAAGCUCUUUCAGUAGUGAAGAUAAUGACGGUAGCUACAGAAGAAGCCCCGGCUAACUUCGUGCCAGCAGCCGCGGUAAUACGAAGGGGGCGAGCGUUGUUCGGAAUCACUGGGCGUAAAGGGCGCGUAGGCGGAUUGGCAAGUCAGAGGUGAAAUCCUAGAGCUUAACUCUAGAAGUGCCUUUGAUACUGCUAGUCUAGAGAUUAGGAGAGGCAAGCGGAAUUCCGAGUGUAGAGGUGAAAUUCGUAGAUAUUCGGAGGAACACCAGUGGCGAAGGCGGCUUGCUGGCCUGAUUCUGACGCUGAGGCGCGAAAGCGUGGGGAGCAAACAGG